GGGGCGCUGUCGGGACCGCGGGGCGGAGGCCGAGGCUGAAGCCGCGGAGCCCAGUAGGGGCCAGGGCGGAGGGCGAGGCCGGGCGGGGCUCGGAUCCCCGGCGCAGUGCGGGGCUGAGCUCUGCGGCAUCUCCCCUGAUCACUGCUUUAUAUCCAUAAGUGACAUAUAGCUAAAGCAGUUUUCGAACGUCUUAAAGCUUAAAGACAUUUCGUGGUUCUCUUUCCCCUCAGUCUUUAUUUUAGUAGUGGUUUGGUAGGGUGCAUCUUAUUUCCAUCUUACUCCAAAAUUCUGUCUUGAUGGAGGAAGUGUCUUGCUAGACUGUUCACUGUGGUCCCAGGGACGGCUGUGCACAGGGGUCUGCUGUAGUUUGGCCUCUCCCUGUCUAUAGCUCCAUGGACCAGAGUGAGGGAGGAGUAGUCACACAGUGACCUGCUUCAGGAAUGACACAAUGCAGGAUAGAUCAGCCAUAACAUUUUUCUUCUCUGUUAUCCAUAUUUUAGUAACAUCCAGAGGUCUUGGCAAUUAAUUAGGCUUUGUAUAUUAGACGCAGUGUUGUUUAGAAGUAAGGCAGAAGGAGGUGCUGAGAUGAUAGUUCUUCCUUUGUGGCAGUUUCUGAUAGUUUCUGACCAAAAGACAAAGGAGAGCUGGUCAACUACAUCAGGACUUUAAGGGAAUCCUUGUUCUAAUAAGCAGUUUAGCACACCUUCGUGAAAUAAAGUAACAACCUUCUGACUCACUUUCACUCUUCCCCUCAGCUCCCCACUGCCAAGGCAUGUUGGGUUGAAAUAACAGCCAUAAGUAUUGGCCAAACUGUGUUAUUCAGAGAUAAUUCUGUGACUGUUUUUUUCCCAAGCAUCAGCAUUACCGAAGAACAGGUGCAAUUUAAGAAAAGGGUGGGUGUAAAAAUGUCAAAUAUUGUCCAACUUCUUCACUUCAGCUUUUCCAGCUACCUCUGUUAGCAGGCCACUUUGUUAAUGAGGAGUGUUUCAUUCCCUUUUUCAAGGGAUGGUUUUAGUUCAGGAGUGGUAGAUCUGAUUAUGACCAUCUGGCCUCUGAAAGGCCUUCUUUGAAGGGGCCACUCUUGCUUCCUGCACAGCAGGAUGAUCAUCUUCACUUGGCACUUCACUGAACUGGUGUGCCAACCUACAUCCUUAUCCAUUGUCUGAAUCUUUGAAAUGGUGACAGUUCAGACAGUGAACUAAAGGAUUUCACUGUGAUUCACUGUGGUAUGUGGUCACAUACCAGUAACCUGAGAAUUCCCAUUGCAGAGGAAAAACAUGCUGUUUGCAACAUAAAUUGUAACUGCCACAGUAGAAAUAAGUUCUACAGUUGGCCUUCUGUGACUAGAAACCUGCUGAAAUUCUGCCAAAUGUAAACACUUUCAUUUGCAUGAGAGGUAGCCAUUUCAGCAGUAUUAGUAAGUUACUGGCAGUAGAAGUGAAUCACAUAGAGCUGGAAACCUGGAUUUCAGUCUUUCCUCUUACAUGGAAUAGGACCUCCAGCAAGUUAGUUUUCUCCACUAUGAAAUGGGAGGAUGACCUCUUCUUAAAAUGGACCAAUAUUUGCAAAUUGAAAUAUAUGAAAAAUGAGAAUAGUUAAAAUGACAGCAAUCUUGAGACCUGUCAAUAGUCUGCAUAUUAUGAUGUUGUAGAUAGCUGCACUCUUGAUUCAGGGAGUUCAAGAAAUUUAGAAAUAAUGAUUCCUACUUAAAUGUUAGCUGCUGUAGAGGGCUCAUGUGAAGGUAGAGCAGUGACUAUACAAAGGAUGAAAAAGCUAGAGUUUGUUUUGUGUCCUGUUGGCUGUGGCACCCUGUCUGCAUUAAAAAAAAAAAAAAAAAAAAAAAGUAAAACAAAAACCCAAAAGAACCCCCCCCCCCAAAAAAAACAAACCAACAAAACAACUAAAGACUUUUUUUUUCAGUCGAUAAAUCCCCUGCCCUGACUACUAUAAAAAGUAUGUUUUUCCAGACUUCCUUCUAUACCAUGGUUCAGGAAAAUGCAAUAGUGGCUACAGGGCAUUAUCGUGGCUCAUUUCCAGGUGUAGAGCUUUGUAGGCUGUGAUAUUUUGAAUCUAUGGGAUAGCUGAACAACACUUUUUCCAAAAUGCUGUCUGAAAAAUGCUAGUUUUAUUUUUCUGUUACUGUGUUACUUUUGUCUAAUUUUGAAACAAUAUCCAUAAGACUAGGUCUAGUACUGGAGAGAAAGGCCAAAUCUUUUAAGCUAAUUACCUCAGCAGGAAAUAAAACAUUCACAAGGGCAUAAAGAAUGAGAUGGAAAACUGAUGAGUCACAUGAUCCCCUAUUUAGGCUUUGCAUUUGCAAAGAGCUUGAAUAUUUACUGUUAUUGUGGUAUAGUCUGCACUCUCAUGGUAGAGGAUUCUAAUCAGCAAGGCUUAUGCGCUAUGAAGUGAUAAAUUGGAAUAGUGGCAAAUUUGUAGAGAUUAAGAGUAAAUUCAGACUACCUGUAGGGAAGAAAAUGAUGAAUAAAUUGUUGCAAGUGAGAUAAUUCCACUCUUCCCUUUCUUGCUCUGAAAGAGCACCUAUUCUUUCUGCAACCUAGAGGAUGUAGCAGUACCUCAAAUAGCACUUAUUGCUGCAGUAGGACACGAUGACCAUGACACAGCAGCUAGUCAGCAAGAUUUGCCCUGCAGAGUGCCACCUUGUUCCUGUCCAGAAAGCUGGAGCCCUUGAGGAUCCUCUCCCACCAGUGGCCAGCAAAAGCUCUGCACAACAUGGAGAGCUAGAACUGCAGUAAAUGGGAAUGAUAUCUCCAUGGAAAAUUAACAUCAUUACCUUGAAAGAAAGUAGAUAAUAGAGGCAAUAAAACUUUUGUGUACUUUAUGCAACUUUUAUGUAUUUUAUGCAAGAGAGAUGGUGAAAGAACUCUCAGGGAGGACUCCAUCAAUAAAUACUGGAGCUGAAAUUCUUGUUUCAGUUAACCUUAGAAGUCUGUGACAUUGGCCUUCAACAUCUGAACAUCAGCAGGCAUCAGCACCAGAUGCUGGAGUAAGGAUUUAUAGUGAUAUCCUGCUUUUGUUCAUUGUGGCACAGUGUAGAAUCACAUGAUCUAGGAAAGGCUGCUCCCUACUGGGAUGUGAAAAUUGGUGGUCUGUAGUGUUUGGUGUCCUCCAGAAUGUACACCUGUUCACACUGAGGUCUGAAGGUGACUUCCCCUGUAUGGCUUGGUGCCACUUGCUCUGGGAGCAGAAGCACCUUCCUGCUGUGAUAUGAAGGUAACUAGCUGG